GGAGAUUUGAGGCCCAUCCCUUGAUAGUUAUGCCAGUUAAAGAAUAGUUUGAUGAAUCUUUGAGGUAGAUGGUUUUUACAUCGACUUUUCCAAGGUUACACAAUAAGUGAUGAGUCGGAGUUCAACCCCAGGUCCUCUGACUGUCUGGCCUUUCCACGGUGCCAUCCAGUCCCUUCUCUUUGGUAAGUCUUCAUUCUCUGCCUGUGCCUUUAUUAAAUUUCUCCCUUGUGCUAUAACCCUUAUUCUAGCCCUAUUCCCUGUCUCAUGCGUUUUCAGUCUUUCUCCACUGGCUCCUUACCAGCUGCAUAUAGACUUGUUUUUGUCUUGUUACAGGAUGUCCUAGCUCUGCCUUCCUUGGCUAACAAAUGAUUAUUUCUAGCUUUUUGAAUGGGAGGAAGCAGGAGAAAAACUCAUUGCUCCCCCAUGUAUCUCCUGGCAGCAGAGGAAUAUUUGGGAUGUGUGUGGCAGGAGCAACAGAGUUUGACUUCUCUUGUCAGUCUCGAGGUUUUAUCUGGAAUUCCUACUGGCAAGCUGGUGACGGGAGGUAACAGGAGGCGGGGGGGAGGGGAGGCGAGGGGGGGGAAGGCAUGGGAUUGGGUUACCGCUUUGGGUCUUAGGUGAUUAGAAGCAUGCGACAGUUUGACCAAAAGCAGGAGGUGGGGCUGCUGUAGUUUGCCAGUUGGUCUUCAUUUCUUCUCCCUUCUCCAGGAAGCAAGAACCUGAUAACUUCCCUUUUUCCUUGUUUACUUGCAAGGUCAAUGAGCACACGUAGCUACUGCUCCUCUCGUCUGAGUUGAGUAGAGAUGUUUCUCCUUUUCCUUAUUUUCUUUUCCUCUGCUUCACACCUGCCCAGAUUUCUCCUCCCUCCUGCUCCCAUUAUGAAUCCUCUGUCACUCCUGGAACCAUGAUCAGUUAAAUCAACUCUGCCAUUGCUCUGGUGUAGAGGUAAAAAUUCCCCAAGGUCUGACAUCUGGCUCUCGACUAUUCCAUACUUUCUGUUGAGACUUCCCCCCAUGAAGGUAACUUUAGAUAUUAAUGAAAAACCUGCACAAGGAGCCAGAAUUGAGGAAGAAAUCAAGAAAAAGGACGCGGGGAACAGCUGGAUGAUGUCUUAGUUGUAUCCCAAACCUUUCCAACUUCAGACACGUGCACAUGUGUGUGCACACUUACUAUUGAUGCCCUUUUUUUGCACUAGAUAUUUCUCAAAAUGCUACACAGUGAACCCUCUUAGCAAAAAUGCUGUGCUAAAAAUGAAUGCUUUUGACAGUAUAUUCAACGUCCUUCACCUGCAAGCUCUCUCCACCUGUCAUCUAAGGGGAAGAAAGUGGGUGUGUUUUGUUGUUUUCUCCAAGUUUUGCCAUUUUAAAAUCUAUCAAAAGUAUGUUUUCUCAGGAAAUACAGAUGACAUUGUUAGGCUUUGAAGUGAAGCUUCAGAUCAGACUAAGUCAUUAUUUACAGGAAGUGUUCUAUCUCCCAGAAAUCCAACUGGCUACAAAAGUAGGGAGCAGUUAGGAUGAUCUUUGCCUGAACAGAGGAAAGUAUACACAAGUAUAGUGCUAGUGACCAGAAAGUAGAACGGGCAAAUCCCAGAUUAUGCAAACAUAAGCCAGGGAUAGUCUAGUGAUGAGAAACGGUGGAUGCAGGACAUCCUGGACCAUUGAGCUACAUUAGGAAGGUGUGAGGGGGGAGCCACAUUUGUGGACACAAUGGUAGGGAAUACUCUACUGAAUACUCUAUAUUCUAUUUUUUUAAAUAACUUUUUAUUGAUAGAACCCAUGGCAGGGUAAUUUUUUACAGCAUUAUCCCUUGCAUUCACUUCUGUUCCGCUUUUUCCCCUCCCUCCAUCCACCCCCUCCCCUAGAUGGCAAGCAGUCCUUUACAUGUUGAAUAGGUUACAGUAUAUCCUAGAUACAAUAUAUGUGUGCAGAACCGAACAGUUUUCUUGUUGCACAGGGAGAAUUGAAUUCAGAAGGUAGAAAUAACUCAGGAAGGAAAACAAAAAUGCAAGCAGUUUAUAUUCAUUUCCCAGUGUUCUUUCUUGACGUGUAGCUGCUUCUGUCCAUCUUUGAUCAAUUAAAGCUCUGUUUAUCGAAGAGUUCCACUUCCAUCAGAAUACAUCCUCGGAAUAUAUAAUGAUCUCCUGGUUCUGCUCGUUUCACUUAGCAUCAGUUCAUGUAAGUCUCGCCAGUCCUCCCUGUGAAUACUCUAUAUUCUAGAGGAAGAAAUUUUAUGCUUUUCUUAGAUUGCAAGCUUAUUCCUCAUUGCUGCUAGAUGGAACUAAGUGGACCAUUCAUGUACUUAUUCAUCUACAUUGUUCCUUAACCUCCAUGAUAACGGAGGAACAAAUCUCAGAGGUUCACCUAUCACUUUCCACUUUUUACUUCGGAGGUGUUGGAAAUUCCUAGUGAAACUCUUGUUGAUGCAUUGGCUGUGCUUCUGUAAGAUAUGAUCUUAGAGAAUUGCCCGGGAUGCUGAAUGUAUAACUGUCUUACCCAUAUUUACCAACCAAAAUGCGAGAGGCAAGAGUUGAAUCAUGUCUUCCAAGGCUAGUUCUCUGUCCCCUGCACCAAAAAGAAUAUUUUUUUUAAGUUAUCAGUUAAAAGUUGAAUCCUCAUAUGUCCUUGGGUUCGUUCACAGAGAUUAAAAUUGAAUUAUUGCUGGCAGUGUAGACUGUUAGUGUUGUGUUGAUUUACCCAAUAGUAAUGCAAUAGGAUUUUAUGGAUGAAAAACAACCCAUUGAAAUUGAAUGGUAAUGGUCUGAAUUCGAUCUGAAAAAUGAAGCAAAUUGUAGAAUAUAUAAGAAAAUUAUACUAUAUUGCCCAAAAGCAACAACUAAAAUAGGGAUUUAUACAUACACAUAAUGUUUAAGGGAAAUCUAUUUUGUCUCAAAUGAAUUGUAAAGAAGAGGAGUCUCAAUCAUCAUUUCUGUUAUGACAAAGAAUGUUCAUGUUCUAGAACAUAAAGAAUUCAGUAAAAAAUGGAAAUAAAUUCCUAGAUCCUUUUUA